rnacentral:rRNA from 1 species
AUACGAAAGGGGCAAGCGUUGUUCGGAAUUACUGGGCGUAAAGCGCACGUAGGCGGCAUUGUAAGUUGAGGGUGAAAUCCCGGCGCUCAACUCCGGAACUGCCUCCAAAACUACAAAGCUAGAGGAUGUGAGAGGAUAGUGGAAUUCCGAGUGUAGAGGUGAAAUUCGUAGAUAUUCGGAAGAACACCAGUGGCGAAGGCGACUGUCUGGCACAUUUCUGACGCUGAGGUGCGAAAGCGUGGGGAGCAAACAGGAUUAGAAACCCCAGUAGUCC